AGAGUUUGAUCCUGGCUCAGAGUGAACGCUGGCGGCAGGCCUAACACAUGCAAGUCGAACGGCAGCACAGCAGUAGCAAUACUGUGGGUGGCGAGUGGCGGACGGGUGAGGAAUGCGUCGGAAUCUGCCUAUUUGUGGGGGAUAACGUAGGGAAACUUACGCUAAUACCGCAUACGACCUACGGGUGAAAGUGGGGGACCUUCGGGCCUCACGCAGAUAGAUGAGCCGACGCCGGAUUAGCUAGUUGGCGGGGUAAAGGCCCACCAAGGCGACGAUCCGUAGCUGGUCUGAGAGGAUGAUCAGCCACACUGGGACUGAGACACGGCCCAGACUCCUACGGGAGGCAGCAGUGGGGAAUAUUGGACAAUGGGCGCAAGCCUGAUCCAGCCAUGCCGCGUGUGUGAAGAAGGCCUUCGGGUUGUAAAGCACUUUUGUCCGGAAAGAAAUCCUUUCGAUUAAUACUCGGGAGGGAUGACGGUACCGGAA
rnacentral:rRNA from 1 species